AAAAAAAAAAAAAAAAAAAAAAAGAACUCCCAACAUAAAGAGCCCCUAAUCGAGCAUCAGAAAGAGAAGGACAGUCAAAACUCCCCCCCUCCCCCCCAACAUAAACCCUAUCUAAAUCAGCCGACGGCCGGUAUGAGUCGGUCAGUUGACGAUCUAGGAACGAAGCCAGAUCUGUCUAAGAAGCCUAUCUUCCUUACUAAAGCACAGCGAGAGGAGUUAGCC
rnacentral:lncRNA from 1 species